UUGUUUUUAGUGGCGCACGGGUGAGUAACACGUGAGUUACCUGCCCCCAAGAGUGGGAUAGCCCCGGGAAACUGGGAUUAAUACCGCAUAAUAUCGCAAGAUUAAAGGUGCAAACCGCUUGGGGAUGGGCUCGCGGCCUAUUAGUUAGUUGGUGAGGUAACGGCUCACCAAGGCGAUGACGGGUAGCCGGUCUGAGAGGAUGUCCGGCCACACUGGAACUGAGACACGGUCCAGACACCUACGGGUGGCAGCAGUCGAGAAUCAUUCACAAUGGGGGAAACCCUGAUGGUGCGACGCCGCGUGGGGGAGCGAAGGUCUUCGGAUUGUAAACCCCUGUCAAGUGGGAGCAAAUUAAAAAGAUAGUACCACUAGAGGAAGAGACGGCUAACUCUGUGCCAGCAGCCGCGGUAAUACAGAGGUCUCAAGCGUUGUUCGGAAUCACUGGGCGUAAAGCGUACGUAGGCGGCUUGGUAAGUCGUGUGUGAAAGGCAGGGGCUCAACCUCUGGACUGCACAUGAUACUGCCAGGCUAGAGUAAUGGAGGG
rnacentral:rRNA from 1 species